rnacentral:rRNA from 1 species
GACGUAGGUGGCGAACGUUAUCCGGAAUUAUUGGGCGUAAAGGGCGCGUAGGCGGCUUGGCAAGUGGAUGGUGAACUCCCUCGGCUUAACCGAGGAACUGCCGUCCAAACUGCUUCGCUUGAGACCGGGAGAGGUGAGUGGAAUUCCCAGUGUAGCGGUGAAAUGCGUAGAUAUCGAGAGGAACACCUGCGGCGAAGGCGGGUUGCUGGGCUGAUACUGACGCUGAUGCGCGAAAGCCAGGGGAGCGAACGGG